rnacentral:tRNA from 1 species
GCCGUUGUAGCUCAGUGGUAGAGUACUUCCUUGGUAAGGAAGGGGUCACGAGUUCAACUCUCGUCAAUGGCUCAA